rnacentral:lncRNA from 1 species
ACAGAGAAUAAGGAUUGUUGCAAAGGGGUGGCUUUUCCAGACAGGCCAGUUGUGCAAAAGAGUGAAACGGAGCAAAAAGUGCGCGGGGGGGGGGCUUUUAUAUGGGAUGAGGAGUAAAAUAUGCCUUCACGAUCUUCCUUGGAGGAUAAAGGGGAGUUUUUGAAAAAGGAGGGGAGAAAACUCCGUAUUGCUGCCCAUAUCUGUCAGGGACACCCCAACCUGGUGGCAGCGAGGAGACCCCCUCCCCAUCCUAGGGUUGCAGGUGAUACACCCUUGGGAGGGGGGUGGGGGUGGGAGAGGACACCCGGAGAAGAGGAGGGAGGGAGAGAGGGAGGAGGAAAAGGGGGAAAGACAGCGAGCCAAAAGAGAGAGAGGGAGGGAGGAGGACCCAAAGCUGGAGAAAGAGGGAGAGGANNNNNNNNNNNNNNNNNNNNNNNNNNNNNNNNNNCCUCUCUCUCUCUCUCUCUCCCUCUCUCUUAUUCCCCCCCCCAAACCUCGUCCAACCAAGCCAAGCACCAAACAGCAAGAAGCCACCCGCCGAUCGCGCAGCCCAAAGAUGGGGAAAACUCUGGCUUUGCCCCGGAGAGCCCCCGGAUUGCCCCUCUUGACAGCGACGACGCUGGUGGCCGCCUCGGCGGCGCUGGGCUUUUGGGGGGCAGAAGCCAAGGUAUACUAUUCUUGCGGCGCACAAUUCAAAUCCAUGGAACGAGGUCUUAUUUUAUCACCUGGUUUCCCCAACAACUAUUCAUCAGGCAUCCAUUGCAUUUGGGAAUUCUUUAUCCCCGCUAGAACGUACUUAAUGUUGGAAAUCUUUGACUUUGAUGUGUUUGAAAGCAUGAGUGCGAAUCCUGAUGCCUGGGACGGGUUUCUUUCCCUUCCUGAAAAUAACAACAAAGAAUUUCUCCCCAGUGAGGAAAACAUUGACUUUCCUACCCUAUUUCCUACAGUCAGUUCUGCUCUCCAAGAGUCUAACUCAACUGGUUUUUAUAACCUUCACGAUGGACUUCCAGAGGCUGCUUCUCAAAAACUUGAAGCGAAACCAUUCCAGCAGAUAAAAGAAGCCAAAGAGUUGGGCAGCGCUAAACCAAGUAAAUUCUUGGCACCCACCAACGACACCCUACCGAGAGAAACAGGUGGCGGAGUGCAAGAGGAACACAAAAACCCAAAGGAUAAAACACUGUUUUCUCACCUCACCGAUAAAGGUGAGAGGGACAAUUCUGAGGGCUAUAAUCAACAUCCAGGAGAGGACGUGGCGAUUCCGACCACGGUGUCGCCAACGGACUCCUCUUCCACCUCAGGGCCCUCGGCUGAAAUUUGCCCUCACGACGUGUUGUACGUCUCGGACCUCUUUGCUUUUUCUUCCCGUUUCUGUGGGACGAAAUCGCCGCUGAACAAGAACAUGUCCUUCGGGUCUUCCCUCAAGAUGGUCGAGGUCAUUGUGGAGUUGAUCACAACCACGGACCGGGGGCGGGGCUUUGCGAUGCUUUUCGAGUACAAGAACGAUACCGAGCCGGUGGACGUGAGUGACUCAAAAGAGGGGAAAGAGAAUAUUAUGAUGCUGGUCAUCAUAACGGGAAUACUCUUCUUUGCUCUGGUCCUCUUGUCCUCACUCUGUAUAGCUUGCAGGUAAGUGCUGCCACGAUGGACUCCUGGUUGCCUUUCGCUUUUCCAUGUUACAAUUCCCAUGUCUUGGUCCCAAGCUAUUUUCCUGCUAAAAAAGGCCAGCCAAUGAGAAUAUUACUGGACCCUGUUUAAUUGACUGACCAAUUAAAUUAAUGCAUUCAUAACACUGUGAUUGACUAGAAAAGUGCCUUGACUCAAUAACUGUGUGCCCUCAAGGCAAUUUUGAUGUAUGGCGUCCUUCUUCAGAGUUUUCCCAGUACAGAUUAUUCAGAAGUGCUUUACCCUUCCCUUCCUCAAGGGGGCACCCUGGGACUGUGCAGCUUGCCCAGGGCUACCCAGGCUGGCUGUUCUCUCUGUAGGCACAAUGGGGGAUUAAAUUCCAAAACUCUGACUCCGCAGCCAGAUACCUAAACCACAGAGCUGUCCAGCCUUGACUUACUGAACACCCCAUACUGUAUAUAAACAACUAUUAGCUACUUAUAAAAAAAAAUGUAGGUGGCAUGAGCUUGGAGGCAUUCUCUCUGUAAACUGAAGCAUUCCAGAAGUGUUUUGCACCCAUUGGAAACAUGUGCAUUUUAUUUGGAGAACUUUUCAAAAGUGCAUGGUGUCACAGU